UACGGGAGGCAGCAGCGGGGAAUAUUGCACAAUGGGCGAAAGCCUGAUGCAGCUAUGCCGCGUGUAUGAAGAAGGCCUUAGGGUUGUAAAGUACUUUCAUCGGGGAGGAAAAAACAAAACUAAUAAUUUUAUUUCUUGACGUUACCCGAAAAAGAAGCACCGGCUAACUCCGUGCCAGCAGCCGCGGUAAUACGGAGGGUGCUAGCGUUAAUCAGAAUUACUGGGCGUAAAGAGCACGUAGGUGGUUUUUUAAGUCAGAUGUGAAAUCCCUGGGCUUAACCUAGGAACUGCAUUUUGAAACUGAAAUACUAGAGUAUCGUAGAGGGAGGUAGAAUUCUAGGUGUAGCGGUGAAAUGCGUAGAUAUCUGGAGGAAUACCUGUGGCGAAAGCGGCCUCCUAAACGAAUACUGACACUGAGGUGCGAAAGCGUGGGGAGCAAACAGGGAUUAGAUACC
rnacentral:rRNA from 1 species